AACGCACAUUGCGCCCCCUGGCAUUCCGGGGGGCAUGCCUGUCCGAGCGUCAUUAGACCAACCCUCAAGCUGUUUGCACAGCUUGGUUUUGGGCCGUGCCGGCAGCGGCAGGUCCUAAUCCCAGUGGCGACCCCGUCCGAUCGCGAGCGCAGUAGCAACCCUCUCGCUCCGGGAUCGCGCGGUGGUCGAGCCAAAAACCCACUUUCGCCAGGUGGACCUCGGAUCAGGUAGGAAUACCCGCUGAACUUAA
rnacentral:misc_RNA from 1 species